AGUGUCAUGUAUUUCAACGAAUAUGAUUGGUUGUUUACUGAGCGUAACUGUAGCAUGGGGUACAAGAACUACGGCAUCAGAAACCAAAUAUUUGUUCCCACUUUCACAACCGUGAGAUUCGAAAUUUCGCCUCAUCGUUGUGUGAGUACAAGCUAGCUUUUUCGAAAAAAUACAUUUCUAGCAUAUUCCGAGGAUAAGCUAAGUACGAAAACGUGUUCUGUACUAGUUGUCAAUUCGAUUUACAAGACUUCUUUCAACUAAAUCUUAAAAUCUAGCUAACAGUAGCCAGCCAUCUGAAAGACAAUAAGGACCGUCCUACGCCUAGCUAACUUUUUUCAAAUCUUUACGGUCUUAAUAAACACAUUUCCACCACCAUUUUCGGAUUUUUUAGUUUUUAAAUGUAUUCUGUUGGGUAUUUCAACAAUUACGAAAAUAGACGUGGUUAAAAUGUUUACAUGUCCGGUAACCUUUCCUGUUGGUGCUUCCUUUAAACCAAUAUCCAACAUUCACGACUAGGUCCUCAACAUCAACUCCAGACACCUGCAAAAUAUAUAACUUGUAAUCAAACAUUUUCAUUAAAUCAUUCCAUGAUACAUUUUCUUGCUUGGAAUUAGACUAAAUUUAAGUAAUUCAAAGCAUACAUAAAUCUACUAAAUGCACUACACACCUCCAAAAAACCCUGUCCAGCCUUUUUGGCAGUGUUGUGGAUGAUGUGACAGCGCCAUGCAAGGACAUAGAUGUUUGGAUUUUCCUUUAACAUUCUGGACGCGAUGGAAUUCAUAGCACCUUUUAACAGGUCCCAUGGUAUGUUGUUCUCCUGCAAGCCCUAUCUAUCUUCUGGUAGAUAACUUCACCUGUGCUGCACUUCGGCCCAGUGGUAGUGCACAUAUCAAGGAACCUGUGCACCCUCUGUUAGUGUCAUAUAAAUGCACUGUGAGUGGGUUCAUCUUUUCUCUUCCUGCAAUGACAACAUAUAGGCUUAUCAGUUUAAAGACUCACUCCUUUUGAGUGCAUGGCCUACUAUAUAAAACAAGAGGGGAAAAUAAACAAAAGGCCAAGAUGUCAAACUUUGGAAACUAUAUCCAUAUGCGUUAAUAGGCCUACCUGAAUCGUUGGACCAUCCGUGAUGAUCGUGUAAGGAUUGUCUUUCAUCUUCAUCACCAGUUCUUUUUUAAAAGUGUGGUGCGACAGAUUCUUUGAUUAUACAGGUGGUCUUUGUGCGGGCACAAUCUGGGAAUCAGUGAAACACUCCUUGAACAGAGGCCCAAGGUGAUCCGCCAGCUGCACAUUGUGCUUAACCAAUGACAUGGCCACCUUAACCUCUGCCCACCUUGUCUGCAACAGAAAAUGGUUAUUUGUAUUAGAUUUAAGUGUUACAAGUGUUCAUGUUACAUUCAGUAUUUUUGUUGUUGUGUUGCCUAUCCAGUACAGUCUUAAGCCUUACACUUUUCCCCCUGAUUUAUACUGAUAGUGUGUAUACCUUUGGCUUCUUGUGUAGAAAACCCACCAACAGAAGCGGCUACUGGGACAGAAAACCAGGCAAUGUCACUUGCAGACUGCAGCACCUUUUGUUUCUCCUGGUGGCCCUGGCUCUUAAUGUCUGAUGACAUCUGUAAUGCCUUGGUGAGAACAUGUGUUCUCCUGCCGACAUAUUGAACACCAAUAAUGCAUGCUCGUGGUUCCUUUAUUUAUAAAUGGCCAUUUGGCUGUCCACUCAUUUUUAAACAUGGACUUAUACUUAGCAGCUCCACUCAGGGCACUUUGCAUUUUCACCGCUUCUUUUCUUGCUACCGUCUCUGGCUGGGUCUGCUGUACUGUCUCUUUGUCAUCCUCUCUCUCUAGCUGCUCUGAAGGAUAGGGCCCAGCCUCUCUCUAGCUGCUCUGAAGGAUGGGGCCCAGCCUCUUGAUCCAGCUGUUCAGAAGGAUGGGCCCAGCCUCUCUCUCUGGCUUCUCUGAAUGAUUGCUGGUGCCUUUUUUGUUGGGGCCUGAUAUUUUGCUGCCCACAUUAAAAUUUCUUAUUUCCCCAGAGGCCAUGGCUGCGUUGGGACGGGCUGUGAGGUAGUGGUGGUCUCUGGGUGCUGGUAUAGGCGCAGAGGCAGGAGGAGCCUGCAGUGGAGGAGUGAUUGUGGGUGUUGAGGUGGUGCCCGUGCCAGUCCAUGCCCGGGGGCCGGAGAUGGCCGAGUAGAUAGCAGCUGAGCUGCUUUGCUCUGCCCUCCCAACAGACACUGGUAGGAGGUAGCCUCAGCAACGGACCUAGGAACAGAACUUCCAUCUGAUGGACUACCACCUCACUGUGAUGUUGGCCAGGAGACUGGUGUGGACUAUAGUGUCAGGGGUACUACACCUAUCUAUCUCUAUAUCUCUCUUUCUCUCUAUCUAUCGCUAGGGUCCAGGAGACUGGUUAUUAUGUUAGAAAUGAAAAGGCUGUUACAUUAUUGGCAGUUAUUAGGAGAGGUGUCGUACCCAGUGUAUUCCUGGGUGAUAUUAGUUUGGGAGUGGGACAGAGCUUGGACAGUGUUUUUACACAUGCGUUUAAAAAAUGAAUGUCUGAUUUUUUUCAUCUCUGUAUUUCUGUACAUGCUGUUUUUUUCCGUUGUUAUUGUCCUUCCCCCUUGACAACAUAUAGAGGAUUGAUCCACUGAUGUUACCUGCAUGAUCAGAGGACAGGCAGACAGGUCCUCAUGCAUGUUGCCUGGCAGCCAGUGUUUUUAUAACAUAAGGAGUCUACUGCAGAACUAUAUGUAUAUGGUACCACCCAUUGUGGAAUAGUUUCUGUACAGCAGAUAUUGUAGCUAACACCUCACGAGAGAUAGACUUACAUGCAAGGCAGGUCUCAGUUAACCCACAGAGGUCUCAUUUAACCCACAGUUUUACUCCUUGAUAUUUACUCCUGUACUCCCUGUUCACCCACGACUGUGUGGCCAAACACGACUCCAACACCAUCAUUAAGUUUGCUGA